GCUGGGGUAGCUAAGCCCGGACUAAAGCGGUAGCCUCGAGAGCUAUUGGUGCUUGUCACCGCAAGGGUUCAAAUCCCUUCCCCAGCG
rnacentral:tRNA from 1 species